UCCACGUUUCCGUGGCAGUCCCGCUAGAGUGCUCCAUAACGGAUAGCAACUAACGGCAAGGGUUGCGCUCGUUGCGCCACUUAAGGCAACACCUCACGGCACGAGCUGACGACAACCAUGCAGCACCUCUACCGACGUCCCUUGCGGGAAGGAUCCUUUCAGAUCCGGUCACUAACUUUCAAGCCCUGGUAAGGUUCCUCGCGUAUCAUCGAAUUAAACCACAUGCUCCUCCGCUUGUGCGGGCCCCCGUCAAUUCCUUUGAGUUUCACCGUUGCCGGCGUACUCCCCAGGUGGAUUACUUAUCGCUUUUGCUAAGCCACUAAAAGUUGCCCUCUAGCAGCGAGUAAUCAUCGUUUACAGUGCGGACUAC
rnacentral:misc_RNA from 1 species